GGGCCCGCACAAGCGGUGGAGCAUGUGGUUUAAUUCGACGGUAACCGGAAAACCUCACCAGGGCUUGAAAUGUAGCUGCAAAUUCGCUGAAAGGCGAACUUCUUCGAGAGUGCUACACAGGUGCUGCAUGGUUGUCGUCAGCUCGUGUCGUGAGAUGUCGGGUUAAGUCCUUUAACGAGCGCAACCCUCAUCUUGUGUUAAAUAUUCACAAGAGACUGCCCAGCUUAACUGGGAGGAAGGCGGGGAUGACGUCAAAUCAGCAUGGCCCUUACGCCCUGGGCAACACACGUGCUACAAUGGCCGGUACAGAAGGCUGCUAAGUCGCGAGACGGAGCUAAUCCUCAAAACCGGUCUCAGUUCGGAUUGAAGUCUGCAAUUCGACUUCAUGAAGCUGGAAUCGCUAGUAACCGUGAAUCAGCAUGUCACGGUGAAUACGUUCUCGGGCCUU
rnacentral:rRNA from 1 species